rnacentral:rRNA from 1 species
CAGUCGCCGCGGGAAUACGUAGGGUGCGAGCGUUAAUCGGAAUUACUGGGCGUAAAGCGUGCGCAGGCGGUUCGUUAAGACAGAUGUGAAAUCCCCGGGCUUAACCUGGGAACUGCAUUUGUGACUGGCGAGCUAGACUAUGGCAGAGGGGGGUAGAAUUCCACGUGUAGCAGUGAAAUGCGUAGAGAUGUGGAGGAAUACCGAUGGCGAAGGCAGCCCCCUGGGCCAAUACUGACGCUCAUGCACGAAAGCGUGGGGAGCAAACAGGAUUAGAUACCCGUGUAGUCCCUGUCUCUUAUAC